rnacentral:rRNA from 1 species
UGUCGUAAGGGAAAAUAAUGAUAAUACCUUACUAUUAGUGUCGUCCAAAUCUGGUGCCAGAAGACUCGGUAAGACCAGAGACGCAAACGUUAAUCAUCAUAAUCAGGCGUAAAGGGUUUGUAGGCAGCAUUCAAAUGACUAUGUAUAAUAAAAUAAAGUAGUUUAAUUGAUUGCUAGAAUCAAAAAGAGGUUAUAGUGUAUAACGCCUAGAGGAGGGCUGAUAUCCAUAGAUCCUAGGCAGAAUACUAAGGGCGAAGGCCACUUUCCACUAAUGAUUGACGCUGAGAAACGAAGGUUAGGGUAGGAAAUAGGAUUAGAUACCCCGGUACUCCUUUCUGUAAACGAUGAAUGGUAGUCAUUAGUAAUAAAACUAGAGACGAAGUUAACACAAUAACCAUUCCGCCUUGUGAGUACUACUGCAAAGUAGAAAACAAAAAAAUUAGUCGGUCUCGAAGCAAACGGAGUGAAGCA